GAUGAACGCUAGCUACAGGCUUAACACAUGCAAGUCGAGGGGAACGACAUCGAAAGCUUGCUUUGAUGGGCGUCGACCGGCGCACGGGUGAGUAACGCGUAUCCAACCUGCCCACCACUUGGGGAUAACCUUGCGAAAGUAAGACUAAUACCCAAUGAUAUCCCACGAAGGCAUCCGAAUGGGAUUAAAGAUUUAUCGGUAUGAGAUGGCGGUGCGUCCCAUUAGCUUGUUGGCGGGGUAACGGCCCACCAAGGCGACGAUGGGUAGGGGUUCUGAGAGGAAGGUCCCCCACAUUGGAACUGAGACACGGUCCAAACUCCUACGGGAGGCAGCAGUGAGGAAUAUUGGUCAAUGGGCGAAAGCCUGAACCAGCCAAGUAGCGUGCAGGAUGACGGCCCUAUGGGUUGUAAACUGCUUUAUAAGGGAAUAAAGUGAGCCUCGUGAGGCUUUUUGCAUGUACCUUAUGAAUAGGACCGGCUAAUUCCGUG
rnacentral:rRNA from 1 species